rfam:TPA: Bos taurus chromosome 8, whole genome shotgun sequence.
UCCCUGGUGGCUCAGAUGGUAAAGAAUCUGCCUGCAAUGCAGGAAACCCAGGUUCGAUCCCUGGAUAGGAAA